UACGUAGGGUGCAAGCGUUGUCCGGAAUUAUUGGGCGUAAAGAGCUUGUAGGCGGUUUGUCGCGUCUGCUGUGAAAAUCCGGGGCUCAACCCCGGACUUGCAGUGGGGACGGGCAGACUAGAGUGUGGUAGGGGAGACUGGAAUUCCUGGUGUAGCGGUGAAAUGCGCAGAUAUCAGGAGGAACACCGAUGGCGAAGGCAGGUCUCUGGGCCACUACUGACGCUGAGAAGCGAAAGCAUGGGGAGCGAACAGG
rnacentral:rRNA from 1 species